rnacentral:tRNA from 1 species
GGGGGUGUAGCACAAUUGGUAGUGCAGCGGUCUCCAAAACCGAAGGUUGAGAGUUCGAGUCUUUCCACCCCCGCCA